UACAGAGACUGCAAGCGUUAUUCGGAUUCACUGGGCGUAAAGGGUGCGCAGGCGGCCAAGUGUGUCAGGUGUGAAAUCCCGAGGCUUAACCUCGGAACUGCGCCUGAAACUACUUGGCUAGAGUACUGGAGAGGGUAACGGAAUUCACGGUGUAGCAGUGAAAUGCGUAGAUAUCGUGAGGAACACCAGAGGCGAAGGCGGUUACCUGGACAGUUACUGACGCUCAGGCACGGAAGCGUGGGGAGCAAAAGGG
rnacentral:rRNA from 1 species